rnacentral:rRNA from 1 species
GCCUAUACAUGCAGUCGAGCGGACAGAAGGGAGCUUGCUCCCGGAUGUUAGCGGCGGACGGGUGAGUAACACGUGGGUAACCUGCCUGUAAGACUGGGAUAACUCCGGGAAACCGGAGCUAAUACCGGAUAGUUCCUUGAACCGCAUGGUUCAAGGAUGAAAGACGGUUUCGGCUGUCACUUACAGAUGGACCCGCGGCGCAUUAGCUAGUUGGUGAGGUAACGGCUCACCAAGGCGACGAUGCGUAGCCGACCUGAGAGGGUGAUCGGCCACACUGGGACUGAGACACGGCCCAGACUCCUACGGGAGGCAGCAGUAGGGAAUCUUCCGCAAUGGACGAAAGUCUGACGGAGCAACGCCGCGUGAGUGAUGAAGGUUUUCGGAUCGUAAAGCUCUGUUGUUAGGGAAGAACAAGUGCAAGAGUAACUGCUUGCACCUUGACGGUACCUAACCAGAAAGCCACGGCUAACUACGUGCCAGCAGCCGCGGUAAUACGUAGGUGGCAAGCGUUGUCCGGAAUUAUUGGGCGUAAAGGGCUCGCAGGCGGUUUCUUAAGUCUGAUGUGAAAGCCCCCGGCUCAACCGGGGAGGGUCAUUGGAAACUGGGAAACUUGAGUGCAGAAGAGGAGAGUGGAAUUCCACGUGUAGCGGUGAAAUGCGUAGAGAUGUGGAGGAACACCAGUGGCGAAGGCGACUCUCUGGUCUGUAACUGACGCUGAGGAGCGAAAGCGUGGGGAGCGAACAGGAUUAGAUACCCUGGUAGUCCACGCCGUAAACGAUGAGUGCUAAGUGUUUAGGGGGUUUCCGCCCCUUAGUGCUGCAGCUAACGCAUUAAGCACUCCGCCUGGGGAGUACGGUCGCAGACUGAAACUCAAGGAAUUGACGGGGCCCGCACAAGCGGUGGAGCAUGUGGUUUAAUUCGAAGCAACGCGAAGACCUUACCAGGUCUUGACAUCCUCUGACAACCCUAGAGAUAGGGCUUUCCCUUCCGGGACAGAGUGACAGUGGUGCAUGCUGUCG